GCUGACGAGCGGCGGACGGGUGAGUUAAUGCAUAGGAAUUCUGCCCGAUAGUGGGGGAUAACCUGGGGAAACCCAGGCUAAUACCGCAUACGUCCUACGGGAGAAAGGGGGCUCCGGCUCCCGCUAUUGGAUGAGCCUAUGUCGGAUUAGCUAGUUGGUAAGGUAAUGGCUUACCAAGGCAACGAUCCGUAGCUGGUCUGAGAGGAUGAUCAGCCACAUCGGGACUGAGACACGGCCCGAACUCCUACGGGAGGCAGCAGUGGGGAAUAUUGGACAAUGGGGGCAACCCUGAUCCAGCCAUGCCGCGUGUGUGAAGAAGGCCCUCGGGUUGUAAAGCACUUUCAGCGAGGAAGAACGCCUAUCGGUUAAUACCCGGUAGGAAAGACAUCACUCGCAGAAGAAGCACCGGCUAACUCCGUGCCAGCAGCCGCGGUAAUACGGAGGGUGCAAGCGUUAAUCGGAAUUACUGGGCGUAAAGCGCGCGUAGGUGGCUUGAUAAGCCGGUUGUGAAAGCCCCGGGCUCAACCUGGGAACGGCAUCCGGAACUGUCAGGCUAGAGUGCAGGAGAGGAAGGUAGAAUUCCCGGUGUAGCGGUGAAAUGCGUAGAGAUCGGGAGGAAUACCAGUGGCGAAGGCGGCCUUCUGGACUGACACUGACACUGAGGUGCGAAAGCGUGGGUAGCAAACAGGAUUAGAUACCCUGGUAGUCCACGCCGUAAACGAUGUCGACCAGCCGUUGGGUGCCUAGAGCACUUUGUGGCGAAGUUAACGCGAUAAGUCGACCGCCUGGGGAGUACGGCCGCAAGGUUAAAACUCAAAUGAAUUGACGGGGGCCCGCACAAGCGGUGGAGCAUGUGGUUUAAUUCGAUGCAACGCGAAGAACCUUACCUACCCUUGACAUCUACAGAAGCCGGAAGAGAUUCUGGUGUGCCUUCGGGAACUGUAAGACAGGUGCUGCAUGGCUGUCGUCAGCUCGUGUUGUGAAAUGUUGGGUUAAGUCCCGUAACGAGCGCAACCCUUGUCCUUAUUUGCCAGCGAGUAAUGUCGGGAACUCUAAGGAGACUGCCGGUGACAAACCGGAGGAAGGUGGGGACGACGUCAAGUCAUCAUGGCCCUUACGGGUAGGGCUACACACGUGCUACAAUGGCCGGUACAAAGGGCUGCGAGCUCGCGAGAGUCAGCGAAUCCCUUAAAGCCGGUCUCAGUCCGGAUCGGAGUCUGCAACUCGACUCCGUGAAGUCGGAAAUCGCUAGUAAUCGGGAUCA
rnacentral:rRNA from 2 species